UACGGAGGGUGCAAGCGUUAUCCGGAUUCACUGGGCUUAAAGGGUGCGUAGGUGGGCAAGUAAGUCAGUGGUGAAAUCUCCGGGCUUAACCCGGAAACUGCCAUUGAUACUAUUUGUCUUGAAUACUGUGGAGGUCAGCGGAAUAUGUCAUGUAGCGGUGAAAUGCUUAGAUAUGACAUAGAACACCAAUUGCGAAGGCAGCUGGCUAGACAAAUAUUGACACUGAGGCACGAAAGCGUGGGGAUCAAACAGG
rnacentral:rRNA from 1 species